AAAGCGGCGGACGGGUGAGUAACGCGUAGGAAUCUACCUGGUAGUGGGGGGACAACUUGGGGAAACCCAAGCUAAUACCGCAUACGCCCUAAGGGGGAAAGCGGGGGGAUCUUCGGACCUCGCGCUAUUGGAUGAGCCUGCGUAGGAUUAGCUUGUUGGUGAGGUAAAAGCUCACCAAGGCGACGAUCCUUAGCUGGUCUGAGAGGAUGAUCAGCCACACUGGAACUGAGACACGGUCCAG
rnacentral:rRNA from 1 species